UGGAAUGUUUUUUGUAAACCUUUUUUUGAUUGGUUGGUGAUAAAAAUGGUUAACGCCCAAUGAGAUUUUUGUCUCUAUCAUUUGUAUGGGAUUACGUAACAGAGAGAGCGCUAUACCUAACUUCUUUCCACGGAUAGAGUAUAGCACGCAAUCAAUGUAAACC